ensembl:lncRNA
GGCAGAAUUCCAACAAUAACCAUCGCCAGCACCCUCGUUUCCUUUCUUCCUGCUGAAACACAUCUCCCAGCAGUUCUUUCAGAAAGUAACAUCCCCUGCCUCCUCCUCACCCAACUUGGAAGACUUUAGGAUCUUCUCUGUAUCAUCGUUUUGCACUGCGGAUUUGGUGUGUGUGAGGUGGGGGAGUUGUCUGCAUUGAUCCUGCUCAGCACCUGGUGGUCUCUCCUGGCGAGUAGAAGCUUCAGCUCCCGCCCCAGCCCCCUGGCUGCCCCACGGCAUCUCCAGUCUUCACGCCGCCCAGCCACAGACACGUUUGGUUUGUUCCUAAUGACUAUUUAAAUCCCAGGCCUCUCAGUUUCUCCGACACACCCUCCGUCUCACUUCCCAGGACUCCAGUCCUGCGUUUCAGACCCUCUCCGCUGGCUCCACUGACUUUUGUUCUCGUGGAGGCUCACAUCCCUUGGAAACUGGGCGAUGUGUGACGGUGAGCUCACCUUAGCUGCGGCUUCUCCCAUGAGGCCCCUGCUGGGUCACCUGCCACACCCUUGGGGGCGACUCAGCCUCUCGCGACCGAACCUCAGUCACCUCUGCGCACUCUUCACAAAUCAGCCUGUCCUUGGCCGGCUGAGCCCAGCUCAUCAAGAAUCCACCUCCCCCAGGACUUCCCUGGUGGCGCAGUGGCUAAGACUUUGCGCUCCCAAUGCAGAGGGCCCAGGUCCCACGUCUAGUCAGGGAACUAGACCCCACAUGCCAGAACUAAGACCCAGCACAGCCAAAGCCAAUGGGCGUGAAUCGGAACACACUCUGGGAGAUGGUGAAGGACAGGGAAGCCUGGCAUGCUACAGUCCAUGGUGUUGCAGAGAGUGGGACACAGCAUGGUGACCAAACAACAGCCAAGCAAACAAAUAAAAAGAAUCCCCAACUCCCAAUACCCAGCCGAGCUCCACGUCUCCCACCUGGGAUACGUGCCGCGUCCCUCUAACCUUCCAUCCGUUCCCUCACCCUGCCCGCCUGUCCCUGUGUUUUCAGAGUUGAGCCCAGUCUCUCUCUUCUAUUGCAAUAGUCUUGAAUAAAGUCUUCCUUGUCCAGGUUAUUUUUUUUUUUUUCUCUUUUACAAAAGGAAGGCUAAAGGCUGAGUCUUCAAUCUCCAGUAAGAGUGGAAGGGCAGAUCAUGCCUGGUGGAGGUUAUUGGGUCCAGACCGGGCUUGAGUGCUCCAUACCCCUCCCAGAGCCACCAGACACCCGGACAUGCCCUGCCUUUUAAAACCAAGAUCCCACAGUCGCUGAUCCUAGUUUAGACAGACCCUUAAUCACUGAGGUUGACCCCAGGUUGGGGGGGCAGGGCAGGGGGCAAGUGCAGCCAAUCAGUGCCCAGGUGAGAAAGCUUCAUUUACACACAAGCAUCCCCUUCAUAAGACAUCAAGGAAACGGCUUGCGUAGGGUGGGGGCAAGCCCUUAUGGAACUGAGGGCCCUUUCCGUGCCCUGAGCAAAAGCAUGUCUGAUUUCUAGGUUGUCCCACACCCAGGGACGGCUUUGUCUGCCACCCACAGAGCAGAUGUCCCCACUCACUGUUGUGAGAAAGCUGCGGCCACAGACAGAAUGUGGAAACAGUCUCCAGGUGGAGAACAUCCGGGGGUUGGGGGGAUGAGACAGGGUGCAGGAGAGGGUAAAGGGACCAGUGCAGGGAGCACAAGUUUGGAGAACUUCCGCCCUUUAUUUGGCACUUCCUUUUUAAAAAGAAAAUGUUUAUAACCCAGGAAACCAAGAGAAGAACCAAACAUAAAAAACUGCCAUGCCCCACAAUCAAAGGCCAAUUGCAAUGCAUCGAAUUUGUGCACAGAAGCAAAGAAAUUGUUCCUGAAAAAAAAAAGUGCAAAUUGCUGGUUCGCUGCAU